GAGGGUAUAGCUCAAGUGGCAGAGCGCAUGCCUAGCAAGCACAAGGUCCUGGGUUCAAUCCCCAGAACUGCCU
rfam:Camelus ferus unplaced genomic scaffold scaffold408, whole genome shotgun sequence.